CUGUCGUCAUUCUGCCCAUAUUAAACGCCUUUUGCCCGUAAGUCCGGCUCUGUUCGCCUGCUUCCCGGCUCGCCAGCUUGCGAGUGUGACACAAAACAUGUGAUCUCCACAUACAACCUGAACAGAGGCCAAAAGCUUUGACAGAUGACAAGGCAACCUAGUGUCACAACAGUAAGCCACGUAGCGCCUUGAUGAAGUCAGGACAAGCUCUGCAUGGGGCAGAGGAUUUAAGGCUCAUUCAGCUGCUACAGACCCAUUAAGCUGUCAGAACGAAGGUGGAGGCUGGAAUCCUGGGGAAUCCGGUCAGCAGCACCGCGCUCACAGACACGGGUUCGGAGCCGGUCCAUAGUGACGAGCGGCAGCCGAGUGAGGAGGACGAGCAUGUGAGACCAGGCCCCACGGCUGCUAGCAUGAGCACAGCAAAACAUAUCAGGUCUCCAUGGGGGGGGGGUCAUGAGGCGGGAGAGGAAAACACUUUGUUUUUAAAGUCUGUCUCAAGGUGUUUCUGAGGUGGGGAGUUAAGAUCGUCAUGCUGUCUCUCUAGUGAUA